GCCCGCAUGGCUCAGUGGUUGAGUGUCGGCCUAUGAACCAGGAGGUCAGGGUUCGAUUCCCGGUCAGGGCA
rfam:Myotis brandtii contig284123, whole genome shotgun sequence.